rnacentral:rRNA from 1 species
GGCCUACCAUGCAAGUCGAGCGGAUGACGGGAGCUUGCUCCUUGAUUCAGCGGCGGACGGGUGAGUAAUGCCUAGGAAUCUGCCUGGUAGUGGGGGACAACGUUUCGAAAGGAACGCUAAUACCGCAUACGUCCUACGGGAGAAAGCAGGGGACCUUCGGGCCUUGCGCUAUCAGAUGAGCCUAGGUCGGAUUAGCUUGUUGGUGAGGUAAUGGCUCACCAAGGCGACGAUCCGUAACUGGUCUGAGAGGAUGAUCAGUCACACUGGAACUGAGACACGGUCCAGACUCCUACGGGAGGCAGCAGUGGGGAAUAUUGGACAAUGGGCGAAAGCCUGAUCCAGCCAUGCCGCGUGUGUGAAGAAGGUCUUCGGAUUGUAAAGCACUUUAAGUUGGGAGGAAGGGUUGUAGAUUAAUACUCUGCAAUUUUGACGUUACCGACAGAAUAAGCACCGGCUAACUCUGUGCCAGCAGCCGCGGUAAUACAGAGGGUGCAAGCGUUAAUCGGAAUUACUGGGCGUAAAGCGCGCGUAGGUGGUUUGUUAAGUUGGAUGUGAAAGCCCCGGGCUCAACCUGGGAACUGCAUCCAAAACUGGCAAGCUAGAGUACGGUAGAGGGUGGUGGAAUUUCCUGUGUAGCGGUGAAAUGCGUAGAUAUAGGAAGGAACACCAGUGGCGAAGGCGACCACCUGGACUGAUACUGACACUGAGGUGCGAAAGCGUGGGGAGCAAACAGGAUUAGAUACCCUGGUAGUCCACGCCGUAAACGAUGUCAACUAGCCGUUGGAAUCCUUGAGAUUUUAGUGGCGCAGCUAACGCAUUAAGUUGACCGCCUGGGGAGUACGGCCGCAAGGUUAAAACUCAAAUGAAUUGACGGGGGCCC